UUAUUGAUACGCAGUCGGGUUUUUUUUUUACACAUUAAUCUGAAAAUGAAUGUGGCAUACCCUGUUUUUAAAAUGUACAUCCAGAUACUCUUUUCUGGCUAUGUGGACUCAAUAUGAUCAUAACUCAGUUGUUUUCAUAUCAGAGCACAGAUGAGGUGGAGCUGCUUCAGAACAGAGAGGGUGAGAUAGGGAAAAGCAGCAGCAGCACAACGUUACAGAGAACAGAUGAGGUGAAGCUGCUUAAAGACAGGGAGGGUGAGACAGGGAGAAGUAGCUCAGAGUUGCAGGUGAGACAGGGAACAGGCGCAAGCGAAGAAGUGCAG